rnacentral:rRNA from 1 species
GAGCGGCGAACGGGUGAGUAACACGUGAGUAACCUGCCCCUGACUCUGGGAUAAGCCUGGGAAACUGGGUCUAAUACCGGAUAUGACACUCUUCGGCAUCGAAUGGGUGUGGAAAGUUUUUUCGGUUGGGGAUGGGCUCGCGGCCUAUCAGCUUGUUGGUGGGGUAGUGGCCUACCAAGGCGACGACGGGUAGCCGGCCUGAGAGGGCGACCGGCCACACUGGGACUGAGACACGGCCCAGACUCCUACGGGAGGCAGCAGUGGGGAAUAUUGCGCAAUGGGCGGAAGCCUGACGCAGCGACGCCGCGUGGGGGAUGACGGCCUUCGGGUUGUAAACCUCUUUCAGCAGGGACGAAGUUGACGUGUACCUGUAGAAGAAGCGCCGGCUAACUACGUGCCAGCAGCCGCGGUAAUACGUAGGGCGCAAGCGUUGUCCGGAAUUAUUGGGCGUAAAGAGCUCGUAGGUGGCUUGUUGCGUCUGCCGUGAAAGCCCGUGGCUUAACUGCGGGUCUGCGGUGGAUACGGGCAGGCUAGAGGCUGGUAGGGGCAAGCGGAAUUCCU